GCCUUUUUUUUUUUUUUUUUUUUUUUUUUUUUUUUUCUAUUAAAGCAAAGACGUGUACUAACUUUAACAUUGGAUAAGAAAAAUAUCAAAGAUGAGUAACUUUGAAGAGAGAAAGCCACAUGCAGUGUUAACACCAUUUCCAGUUCAAGGCCAUAUCAAUGCAUUGUUGAAACUAGGAAAACUACUUCACCUUAGAGGAUUUCACAUAACCUUUGUCAACACUGAAUACAAUCACAAACGCUUGCUCAAAUCAAGAGGUCCAAAUGCCUUUGAUGGUUUAACUGAUUUUAGCUUUGAGACUAUUCCAGAUGGUUUAACUCCAACAGAUGGUGAUGGCGAUGUUAGUCAAGAUUUACGCGCUCUUUGUCUAUCAAUCAUGAACAAUUUUCACCAAUUCUUUGGUGUAUUUCUUGCUAAACUUAAUGACUCUGCUACUGCUGGUCUUAUCCCUCCAGUUACUUGCUUAGUUUCUGAUUGCAAUAUGGCAUUUACAGUAGAUGCUGCUGAAGAACAUGCACUCCCAAUUGUUCUCUUUUCCCCAUGUAGUGCAUCUUACUUCUACUCUACUUUUCACAUUACUAAAUUGUUUCAGAAUGGUGUGCUACCACUCAAAGGUAAUCAUUAUGUUCCCUUUUUCAUCCUAAGGGAGGUAUGUUGUGUGUGUACAUGUAUGUCUGCAUCAAGGUUUUUCACAAAAAGGAUUGUGAGCGCAAUAUGGGCCGAACACAACCGUUUUGAUGUCUUGCUAAUUGCAUUAAAUUUGAGGUUUCAUCAACCGCACGAUUAUAAGCAAUGACAGUAUGAUGAAACUACAAACCACAAUCAUUAUUGCAAAGGCGAUUUUAAACCUUGAUAUAUAUUUUAUAUAUAUAACUUCAAGCUAUUGACUUUUGAAAUUGUGAUAUGCAGAUGAGAGUAAUCUAACAGAUGGAAAUUUGGACACUAAAGUUGAAUGGAUUCCAGGUUUGAAAAGCAUUAGUUUGAAGGAUUUUCCUGAUAUAAUAAGGAUAAAAGAUCCUGAUGUGAUAAAAUAUAAAAUUGAAGAGACAGAUAAAUGUCAAAGAGGCUCAACCAUUAUUUUCAAUACUUCUAAUGAACUUGAGAGUGAUGCUAUCAAUGCUCUUAGUUCUAUAUUCCCUUCUGUAUACACAAUUGGCCCAUUUUCUUCUUUUUUAGAUCAAAUUCCAGAAAAUCACUUGAAAUCUUUAGACUCUAAUCUUUGGAAAGAAGAUACUAAAUGUCUUGAAUGGCUUGAAUCAAAAGAACCAGGAUCUGUUGUUUAUGUAAAUUUUGGCAGCAUCACUGUUAUGUCUCGAGAGAAGCUAUUAGAGUUUGCAUGGGGUUUGGCCAACAGCAAGAAACCCUUUUUGUGGAUCAUUAGGCCUGAUCUUGUUAUUGGUGGCUCACAGGUGUUGUCAUCUGAUUUUUUGAAAGAAAUUUCAGAUAGAGGACUAAUAGCAAGUUGGUGUCCACAAGAGAAGGUAUUGAAUCACCCUUCAAUUGGUGGAUUCUUGACUCAUUGUGGAUGGAACUCAAUCAUGGAGAGUAUAUGUGCUGGAGUGCCAAUGUUGUGUUGGCCAUUUUUUGCUGAUCAACCACUUAGCAGUAGAAUUAUUUGCGAAGAAUGGGAGAUUGGGAUGAAAAUUGAUACCAAUGUAAAGAGAGAAGAGGUAGAGAAACUGAUCAAUGAAUUGAUGGUGGGAGAGAAAGGAAAGAAGAUGAGGCAAAAGGCGACGGAGUUGAAGAAGAAGGCAGCGGAGGACACGAGACUCGGUGGUAGUUCAUACAUGAACUUGGACAAAGUGAUUAAGGAUGUCAUGCUUAAAAACUAUUAGAUUUAUAUGAUCUUUUCUUGUUGAUUUUAUUUCUUUUGCGAGCACAAACAAUGCAUGAUUUAGAUUUCUAAUUAUAUCUAAAUUGUAAGCAAUCACAUACCUUGUAUUUUUUUACAAUGCAUUGUUUCAAAAGGGUUCAACGCUAAGUGAAGAUCUUUUGUUUUAUGUAAUAACAUCAUGGGAAGCUUUAUAAAUCCACAGGUUCCAAAUUUAGCUCAUAAAUCCACUUGAGCGCCGAAAGAAAACCAAGAGCUUCGCCAAUAUGAAUUGGACAAAUUGGUGUGAAUAUUCUGUUUUAGCAAGAAUAAAUGCGCCAUAUUUAUCUCUAAUACAAAUUCCAAAUACAACCUUGAUUUUAUGAGAAGAAAAGGAAGCGUUAAUGUUAGAUUUGACUUGAACCGCUGCACGUUUUCUCCAUUUAUCGUCAUCUUUAAACCUGAUCCAAACCUGUAUGGGGCUGAAUAUUACGGGUAGCUUGCAAAUGGUUUAUCAGGCGCUUCAGCUCAAGUAAUCACAAAGUUUUGUGCAACGAAAGUGUUUUUCCAAAUCUUAUGAUUUUCUUACUUCCAAAUGUGUGACAUUAUAGCAGAAAAAUAUGACGGUUCUUUCUCCGAAAACUGGUGUAGGAGUUGGAGAACGACAUCUGCAGCAGCUGAACCGUGGGCUGCUGAUCUAGCAGAAACAGUAGCAGAAAAACUACUUUUCUGCCAGACGCUGUCGCUGUCGGAUAGGUAAAGAAUACGUGCAAGUUGUCUUCCAAUGCAUCGACACAAAUAGCACAAUUGGUUGGGAAAUUAAUCGUGUUGGGCAGCUUUGUCUACACACCGGCCACAGAAAUUUAUAACCUUCAGUGCAGUUUUUAUUUUCCAAAUCAAAUGCCACCGCUCCCCCAAAUCUUAAAGGGGAUGUAUCAAUUAAUUCUUGCACACAAAGGUGAUAAGCCUUGUUCACCAAAUAUUCCCAUUAUUCUCCACUCGCCAAAACCGCUUAUCUUCGGUAACUGAGGAUGAAGUGGAGUAUUUAGAAUUCUGGUCACAUCAUCCGGACUAAAGACAGUAGAGAUUGGGGGAACAUAUAUCAUAAACUAGAAGAUUCAAUCAUAACAUACAAAGUAUAUAGGGCGACUAAUCAAGCCUUAGGAAAAUUAUAAAAAGCUUCAAAUGGUAUUUAUAACUUUAUGAAAUGAAUAUUGAAACAAUGCAUACUGAAAAAUACAAGAUCUGUGAUAAAUUACCAUUUAGACACAAAUAAACUUUUCAAAAGAAUGAAUUGUUUUUUAGGCCUUCUGAUCAUCACAUAGUUCAGAUCAGAUUUCAAGCAUAACGAGGCUUUCAGUCUCUCUUUCUUAGUAUUGGCAGUGUUCAACUCGCUCUUGAGAGCCAUAAUCUCAUUUUCAAAUUCACAUGCGUGCUGCAAUUGAACAUUCAAAUUUCUGGAUUCAUCCAUGUAUUGUUGUCUUUCAUAUUCAUUGUCUGUAAGUUUUGAUUCAAGUGAAUUAAUAGUGCUUUUGAAUUUCAGUUCUCUCGAUUUGUAGUCCUCCACCAGCUCUGACAAUUUUUCAUGUUCAUCCAUCAGCAUUUCCAUUUUAAAUUUGUAAUCGGCAAGCUCAGUUGUUAGGUCUUUCAAUUUCUGUUCAUAUCCAGUCUGCAUCAUACUUGAAGAAGAAUUGAUGACUGUAGAAACAUGUCGAUCUGGUGGUUUUUUCGGAAGCGGCGGUGGCGAUUGAAUUAAAAGGAAAUUAAUUCUAGCAUUCGUGUCAAUAAUUGCCCUUUUGAUAUGAGAAUUUUUGCCAAUGCCAAUCGGAACACUGCCUUUAGCAGCCAAAAACCCCCUAUCAGCAUCUGUCUCAUAAUAAUCUGCCCCCAUUAGCAAUGUGUCCUCAAUAAUUGCAGUUUUUUUCAAAUAUUCCUGAUCAUAAAUUUUUGCAGCGAUGCCAAAGGUUCCAAUGUAGUACUCUUUGACAUAUCUGGCAUAUGCAUCCAUCAAAUCCUCACCAGCGUUCUUUGCAUCAACCAAAGGCUUGCAUAACUUAUCUGGAUUUCCUUACUGAAACGCUAUAACAGCAGCAGCAGCCAGAUAGUACAAGAAGUCUCCAUCAAUUUCAAGAUCAUCUGCAUUAAAAAUUGAUCUCAAGCCUUUCCAUCGGCUGCAAGUUUUGUUUCAACGAGUUGAGUAGUUUCUUGUAAUACUGCUUUACACUCAGGACCAGCCGACUCACCAAUCUGUUGAUCGAAUUCACCGAAGUCUUGAACAGCAAGAACAACGGCAGAACUGGCAAGACAUUCACAUGUUAAAUGGGGAAACUUAAGACGGAACCAUGCACUGAGUGCUCCAGAAUAUGAGCCACUGAAAAAGAACCAUGGAUUUUCAACUCCUGAUCUAUUCAGCUUUGCAUUUAAAGAAUACCGAUAAUACUGGCAAAAAAUACAAUACUCUUUUGCAGACAUAAAAUCAUUUUAAUCUAAUUUUGUUUAAGCAAGACAUCCUUGAUCACUUUGUCCAAGUUCAUGUAUGAACAACCACCAGGUACUGUGUCCUCCUCUGCCUUCUUUUUCAACUCCGUGGCUUUUCUCCUCAUCUUGUUUCCUUUCUCUCCAACCAUAAUCUCAUUGACCAGAUUCUCCACAUUUUCUCUAUUAACAUUCCUAUCGAUUUCUACUCCAAUCUCCAAUUCAUUGCAAAUCAAUCUACAGUUUGUUGGCUGAUCACUAAAGAAAGGCCAACACAACAUUGGCACUCCGGCACAUAUGUUUUUGGUAGUUGAGUUCCAUCCACAAUGAGUCAAGAAUCCACCAAUCGAAUGGUGGUUCAGCAGUUUCUCUUGUGGACACCAACUAGCAAUUAGGCCUCUAUCUGUGAUUGUAUUCGGUGUCAAAGCCUCUAAGGCCUCUAUCUGUGAUUGUAUUCAGCAGUUUCAGCAUUGCAUUGAUAUGACCUUGAGCUGGAAAUGGAAUCAACACUGCAUGUGGUUUUCUGCAAAGUUACUAAUGUUUCUAUUUUUCUUAUGCAAUGUUAGUCUUUCCUUUAAUAAAGAGAAAAUGCCAAUAUAUAUCGUUCUAUAACUUGUUUGCAAAUUACAUGCUAUAUGUACAAAUAUGCAGUGAUGAUAUAAUAAUAUCAAUAUUAAACAGCAAUUAAUUGAGAUAAAUAUUUGGAAAUAGAUGUGAAGAAUUUGAAACCGAUGCAUGAGAUAGAUAUUUUUUGCAAGUUACUCAAGUGAUUGUUAAUGAAUUUGUCAUGUCAGUUUUCCUUGAAUGGUAAGGAGAAAGAAGGUGUUUCUUGCAAGGCUUAAAUGGAAUUAAUGUCUAACAAUAAGCCUAUCAUAAGUGCACACAAUAUCUCACCUCACAAUUAAUAUUUCAAAUCAAAUAAGUAAAACGUUGUAUAAAUUGGACAGAAUUUAUGAACGCAAUAUAACCGUCUAAAUAAAUUUUAAUUAAUAACAGCCAUUUUAAAUCUAAAUCAUAAUCAUGUUCUAUACAUUAUUAUUAUUUUUUGUCAAGUAGACUAGUGGCAGGAGCUCACUACCAUCUGAGCUAUCAACUGAGCUAAGCUCACGAGGAUUGUUCUAUACAUUAUAUCUAUGCACUAGUUGUCCAGUGUUUGAUUUGUAAGACUCUUUCAGGUACAGGACAAACUGGAGGCAAGUGACAGGACAAAAAACUCAUAUUUUUGUCCCUCACCAAACCACAGUACAACUUUUUGUCCCACGUACAAGUUGUCUAAAAUACCGAAAUAACAUUUUGUCCCCAAAAAAUUACUCAUUGCCAUAAAAAAUUUGUCCUGUGUUGUUCUGCCUUAUGUUGUGCUGUUCUAUCCUGUACUGUUCUGUCUAGUACUUACUGUUUUGCAAACCAAACACCUCAACUCAUAAUUUAUAGAGGAAUGCUAGCAGCACACAUUCUAACACAUUUUUCAACACACUUUCUUUGAUUGGUUAAAAUUCACGUCUGAUCCACCAAAUUUAUAUGAGACUCACAUGAUUUGAUUACCCUUUUAUAUUAUUAUCAUAUUUCACAUGGUGUCCAAGUAUUUUUUGUCAAUAUUUGUGUUCAAAUAGUAUUUCUUAAAAUAUUUUAACAUUGAAUGUGUUUAAAAAUAAUUAACUGCAAUCGAUAAAAAAAUGGUUUGACAUUCCAUUUAACUAUGAUUUGAUUUGGACAAUUUUAAAUUAGAAGGUCCAUAUUCAAUUUAUAAAAAAAAAAUAAAAUAAAAGAAAUUGAAUCAAAACCGCAGCAAAAUUUGCAGGAAGUGAAAAUUGAAAAUCCAAAAAAAAAAACCUGCAGCAAAUCAUGUAUUCAUUACCUGUGGAUAUUCAUGACGUGAUAGAACCCGCAAGAAAAAAGUUUUUUUUUUUUUUUUUUUUUUUUUGUGGUGGCCGGGUUCGAAUCCCAGACCUCGCAUAUUUUAUGCAUUGUCCAUACCAACUGAGCUAAGCUCACGAGGACCGCAAGAAAAUAGUCUUGCGCUACAGGACGAGGCAAAAUCCCCAAGAAUUCCUGCGUAUUAUUUUCCAUAGGAAACUCGGAAAGAAAAACGAGAAUUUGUAGUAGUGAAACUAGCCCACCGAAAUUUACAGCGUAGAAAAUCGAACAUGAGAUCUUGAAAGUAAGGAUAUCUUGAAAAUCGAAUGAAUGCACCUUCCAGCUACAACAAUUGUCUUCCUUUGAAUGGGGUAAUUCAAUCUGGCCAAACGGUUGGACUCCAAUGUUCGACCGACAUUUCCAUUGUUCCUUUUCAAAAGAUUAAAUUCUUGUUAGGCCGGUUUAAAUGAAGGUAUUGAAGUGUCAAGGAAUGAACCUCAUUCUUUUGACACUUGAAUACCGUCAUUUAAACCAAAUCUAACAAGAAUUUAAUAUUUUGAAUGGAACUAUGGGAAUGCCGUUGUAUAUUGGAGUCCUGCUGCUUGGCAAGUUUGAAUUGACCCCAUUCAGAGGUAACACAAUUGUUGUAGUUUGAAGGUACAAACGUUCGGUAUAAACGUCCAAAAGAUCGUCAGUAACUACGAAAUAAAUGCACCUUCCAACUGCAACUCCUUUGAAUGGGGUAAUUAAAACUUGUUAAACGGCAGGAAUCCAGCAUUCGAUCGGCAUUUUAAAUGCUGAUCGCAUGCUGGAGUCAUGCUGUUUAGCAAGUUUGAAUUUACCCCAUUCAGAGGUAAGACAAUUAUUGCAGUUGGAAGGUACAUUCCGGAAUGUAGUGUAAUGUAAUGUGAUGUGAUAACAUAUAUAGUUGAAUAUGCAUAAUACAUGUUGUUUUGAAUUGAACAAUAAUUAUCUUAUUUAUUUACUUUUCGAAUUUAUUUAUUCGAAUACGCAAUUUUAAUUAUUUGCAUUCACGUUAGAUUUAAUUAAUUUUUAUUCGAAUACGCAAUUUUAAUUAUUUGAAUUCACGUUAGAUUUAAUUAGUUUUUAUUCGAAUUCACGUUAGAAUUAAUUAAUUUUUAUUCGAAUAAACAAUUUUAAUUAUUUGAAUUUACGUUAGAUUUAAUUAAUUUUUAUUCGAAUUCACUUUAGAUUUAAUAAGUAUUUAUUCAUUACGCAAUUUUUAUUCGAAUUCACAGAAAAUUAUCAUAAACUUAGCAAGUAAUAAUAGGAGGCACAAGAUCAGAUUGCGAAAAGGGUAAAUAAAUAAAUUUCUAAUCGAUUCACGACGAGAUUGCAAGUCUGGAUUAAUAUCACCAUCACCAUCUAGCUAGACCUCUUGAUUUGAGCAAACGUUUGUCAUUGUAUAUAUUUAGACAUUUAGUGUAAACAAAAGUUACGUGAAAGGUGAUAUUUUUUAUAUUUUUCUCUGCAAAAUUACUCAUUUUUGAUAUUUUUCUUAUGCAAUAGAUAAACCAGAUUGCCUAAUAUUACAUAUUACUCUAUAUAUUCUUUUUGUAAAAAACAAUAUAUACCGUAUAAAAUUGAAAUAAUUAUCUUUCAAAAAAUAAAGAGUUUGGGGUGGCUUUUUCACUGUCCUUAAACAAAUUUAUUUAUAAGAAUGUUAUAUUGCUAGUGUCAUUAAAAAAUGGCUUAAAUAGGUAAAUCGUCAUUGUAAGUUCACGUGUUUUUGGUUUUCGUCCAUGUAUUAAUUUGUUCUAAAACAAACCAUGUAAGUUAUCAUCGUUUUGGUUUUGGUCCAUAUGUUGUCAUCAUUUGUUACAAAAAUGAGUAUGCGGGAAUCACAUGAUGACGUUGCGACAUGUGACGUGGCAGACGACGCUGAUGUGUCAUCUCAGAUGCUGAGUUAGAAAGUUAGAGGAACGAAAACCAAAAAAACAAAAUUACUAAAAGGACCAAAACUAAGAAACAAGAAAACAAACAAUCGAGAAAAAUAUCCAAAAAAUUCUUCAUUUUCUUCGUUCUAUAUAUUUCUUCUUCAUCAUCUUCAAAAUAUAGAAUUUUUUGGUUUUUUUUUUGGGAUCUUUAUGAAUGUUGAUGAAGGUGGUGUUAAAGAUGAUGUAGAAAUAAAAGGAAGAAGUUGAAGAAUUUUUUGAUUUUUUUUUUUUGUAUUUUUUGCCUUCUCAUUUGUUAGUUUUAUUCCCUCUACGAAUUUUGUUUUUUGGUUUUGAUCCCUCUAACUUUUUGACUCAGCAUCUAAACGAUACAUCAAUGUCGUCUACCAGGAUGAAAUAAGAAACUCGCAAACAUAAAUGUAGUUUUUAAUGUAGCCUCCCUCAAUCAAUGUCAUGGUGAUAUUGGUAUGCAUGGUAGGCCAUGUAAUUUUAUUUUGAAAAAACGAAAUGUAAUUUUUUUUCCAUGCAUUCUAUAUAAUGUAAUUUUUUUUUCCAUGCGUUCUAUAUAUUUUUUCAUGGAAAGAUAGCAAGGCCACAAUCUCAAAUGACUAAAAUGUAAUUCAAUGCUGCUUCAAAAAAAAAUGUAAUUCAAUUGAAGUGGUCCUCAACCACGCUAUUCUUGUCAGCUUUACACGUUUCUUUUCUUGUCAGCUUGUGUGCGGUCUUCAAUUAAAUCAGUAAUAAUUAGAGGAUCCAAAGCAGAGAGAAAAUGGUUGGGAUAAAUUGUUUACCAAUGUAGUGUCUUUUUGUGAAAAGUAUGAAAUUGAGAUUUCUGACCUUAAUGAUUGUCGUUCAACAACAAAAUUUAGGCGUUCUGGUCUCGACGAGAAUCAGGUAACAAUAGAGUAUUAUUUUAGAGUUGAAAUAUUUUUUUACUACCAUUUACAUACAAUUACAAGAGUUGAAUUCAUAAAUAUAAUUUUGUAGGUUUAUAUAUAUAUAUAUAUAUAUAUAUACACACAUAUUUUCUAUUAAAGCACAGACAUAUACUCACUUUAACAUUGGAUAAGAAAAAAUAUCAAAGAUGAGUAACUUUGAAGAGAAAAAGCCACAUGCAGUGUUAACUCCAUUUCCAAUUUAAGGCCAUAUCAAUCCAUUGUUGAAACUAGGAAAAUUACUUCACCUUAGAUGUUACAUGUUAAUAUUUAAUUUAAUUAUCAUUAACUAUAACCUAUUAGUUAGCCUGCUUAUUAGUAUUCUAUUCAAUUGUAUUUAUACAUGUUGAUUAGUCUUCUCUUUAUUUUAGUGUAUAAAUAAACCUGUCAUGUACUUUUACACAUAGAUCAAUGAGAAUUAUAUAUCACUUGUCUUUCUAUUUUCUACUGUGUUCUAAAUAUUAACAUGGUAUCAGUUGUGAAUCUCUUCAUCAAUUUCUCUUGUUGAUCGAUUCAUCUCAAGAAUCCUCUUUAUUAUUCAAUUUCUGAAUUUUUAUUUUCAGUUUUCAUUCCGCUGUUCAUUUGAUUCCUUGAUUAUUUGAUUUCUUUCAUCUCUAUGGAGAAUCCACCAUUUUUUGAUUUUGCAACCAAUCCUUCAAAUCCUUACUACUUGCAUCCUAAUGAAAAUCCAUCACUUGUUCUUGUUACUCCAUCAUUGGAUAACAAGAAUUACCAGACUUGGUCGCAAUCUAUGCGGGUCGCCUUAAUUUCCAAGAACAAAUUGAAAUUUGUUGAUGGCACCCUAAAUCCUCCUCCUGUUUCAAAUCUCCUUCAUGAACCAUGGUUAAGAUGUAACAACAUGGUUCUGUCUUGGCUUCAACGAUGUAUUUCUGAAACCAUUGUGAAAUCAAUCAUUUGGUGUGAUCGAGCCUCCGUGGUUUGGAAGCGAUUGGAGAACCGUUUUGCACAGGGUGAUAUUUUCAGAGUUGCUGAUAUUCUUGAGGAAUUGGCUAAAUUUCAACAAGGUAAUCUUGAUAUCUCCUCCUAUUUUACACAAUUAACCACUUUGUGGGAAGAAAUUCAGAACUUCCGGCCAAUUCGUGAUUGCACUUGUGCCAUCCCUUGCACUUGUGGUGUUGCUUCUGAUCUCAAAAAGUAUAAUGAGCAAGACAAAGUAAUUAAGUUUUUGAAAGGUUUGAAUGAGCAAUAUGCACAUGUGCGCUCUCAGAUUAUGCUAAUUAAUCCUUUGCCUGAACUGGAUAAGACUUUUUCUCUUGUACUUCAACAAGAAAGACAAACACAUAUUCCUGUUUUUGGUGAAAUUCCUGUUGAUCAACAAUCAGCUGUUAAUCAAGUUCAGCAAACCAAUUCUAACAAAGGUUUUGCUCAUGGUGGUUCUUCUAGCUAUAGAGGUCGAGGUAAAGGAUCUUAUAAUGGAACAAGAGGACAGAAUCAAGGCAUUACUCGCACUUGUAGUCAUUGUGGAAGACAUAAUCAUACAAUUGAGACUUGUUUCCUUCUCCAUGGCUAUCCUCCUGGUUAUCAAAACAAAGGUCCUAAGUCAGCGAAUCUUGCGGUUUCUGAACAAAAGUAUACUGAUGCUGUCCAGAACCAAGGAUCUGUUAGCAGCCCUUCACUGAAUUCUAUCCAUGAGCAAUAUAAUCAGAUUUUGCAGCUUCUACAACAUUCAAAUUUGCAAGCUUCAACGUCAAACACCAAUGCUACUAUGCCUCAGCCUGCUGUCAAUUCAGUUAUCUCACUUCCCGCAGCUUAUACUUCCACAUCCACUCCCAUAAUCGGUAAGAAAUCUACUCUUUGGGUCAUAGACUCAGGAGCAACUGAUCAUAUCACUCACUGUUUGCAAAAUUUUUCUUCUUUCUACAACAUUCCACCUAUCUCCAUGUCACUACCAAAUGGUAAUAAAAUAGUGACAACCAUAGCAGGCACAGUAUCCUUAUCCAAUUCACUUAUCCUUCAUAAUGUUUACUACAUUCCUGAUUUCAACAUCAAUUUAUUUUCAAUAUCUCAAUUUUUGAAAACUUCUAAUGCCAGUUUCUUGUUUUCUAUUGAUACAUGUUCUAUUGUGCAGAUUUUGAAUCAGAGAGUGAUUGGUACAGCUAAGAAGUUUGGAGGACUGUAUGUGUUGGAUUCUUCACUUCUAAAUAAAUCUCAAAAUAAUGGUUUAGUUUCUGCUUCAAUUUGUAAUUCUGUUUUUCCAAGUUUGUCGUCUAAGUCAACUGAUUCUGCAAAUGUUUGGCAUUAUAGAUUGGGUCACAUUUCGGAUUCCAUACACAAAUGUAUUUCCAUUCAGUUUCCCAUUGUAAAAUACACCAGUACCCACUCUCCUUGUGAUAUAUGCCAUUAUGCAAAACAUAAGAAAACAUCAUUUCCUCAUAGUCUUAUUCAUUCCACUCAAAUAUUUGAUAUACUACAUGUUGAUAUUUGGGGACCCUAUGCUACCCCUUCUGUUUCCGGAUUUAAAUAUUUUUUAACCUUGGUUGAUGACUUUAGUAGAUUUACAUGGGUCAUUUUUAUGAAAUGUAAAGGUGAAACAAGAAAUCAUCUCAUGAAUUUCAUUUCUUUCAUUGAUACUCAAUUCCAUAAGAAACUUAAAUGCUUGAGAAGUGAUAAUGGACUUGAGUUCAUCAUGCCUUCAUUUUAUCUUUCUAAAGGCAUCAUUCAUCAAAGGUCUUGUGUUGAGACUCCUCAACAAAAUGGUAUUGUAGAAAGGAAGCAUCAACAUAUCCUUAAUGUGGCUCGAGCCCUCUCCUUUCAAUCUCAUAUCCCUACCAAUUUUUGGCAUUUUUCAAUUCAACAAGCUGUCCAUAUCAUUAAUCGAAUCCCAACUCCCCUUCUACAAAAUAAAUCCCCAUAUGAAUGUCUUCACCAACAACAACCUUCUUUAAUUCACCUAAAAGUCUUCGGUUGCCUUGCUUUUGCCUCCACCAUCCAAAGUCAUAGAACCAAAUUUGAUUCUAGAGCAAGAAAAUCAGUUUUUCUUGGAUAUAGAGAAGGCACCAAGGGUUACCUUCUUUAUGAUCUUCAUUCACAUGAAUUUUUCUUAUCAAGAAAUGUCAUCUUUCAUGAAUCAUCUUUUCCAUUUUCUACAUUGCAUGAACGAUGUUCCCCUGAUUCCUCUACACCUCAUGUCUCCGUUGAUAAUUCACAUCUUUCUUCCUAUCAUGAACCCAUCCAAUCAUCUGUUAUUCCAAAUUCUUCUUUUCCUCUCUCUCAAAACCUUGAUAAUUCUGAUACUUCUACAACACAUAAUUCUACCCCUCCUAAUGCUACAUCUUCUGCAACAGCUAUUCCAGAUCAGACCACAACAGAUGUACCUAUUCGACGAUCUGCACGACCUAAAACAACACCGGCAUAUCUUAAAGACUAUCACUGCAGUCUCCUUACUUCUUCUGAAUCACAAUUACUCUCUGACUCAGGUAAAUCGGCAUAUCCUCUCUUUUCUGUUUUGACAUAUGAUCAUUGCACUCCUUCAUAUAAAAAAUUUUGUCUAACUGUUUCUUCUAACCCUGAACCUAAGACCUAUAAUCAAGCUUGUAAGAUUGAAUGUUGGAAAGAAGCUAUGAAAGAUGAGUUACAUGCUCUUGCAGCCACAAAUACUUGGUCAAUUGUUGAUUUACCACCAGGAAAAGUUCCAAUUGGAUGCAAGUGGGUUUACAAAACUAAAUACCACUCUGAUGGUUCUCUUGAAAGGCAUAAAGCCCGGUUAGUUGCAAAGGGUUAUACUCAAAUGGAAGGAGUUGAUUACUUUGAUACUUUUUCACCGGUUGCAAAAAUGACUACAGUUAGAACAUUACUUUCUUUGGCAGCCAUCAAAGGGUGGUUUCUUGAGCAACUUGAUGUCAAUAAUGCAUUUCUCCAUGGUGACCUCAAUGAAGAAGUUUACAUGGUGUUACCCCCUGGUCUGAAGCUUCAAAAUUCAGAUUCUAAUGAUCUUAAAGUUUGUCGGUUAAAUAAGAGUCUCUAUGGCUUGAAGCAAGCUAGUAGGCAAUGGUAUGCCAAACUUUCUGCAGCGUUGGUUUCUCUCGGAUACACUCCUUCUGUUGCUGAUUCUUCUUUGUUCACUAAGCUAAAAGGUACCAAUUUUACUGCCUUAUUAGUUUAUGUGGACGACAUAGUUUUAUCAGGAAAUGAUUAUGCUGAAAUUCAGCAUGUUAAGCAGUUUUUGGAUCAAAAAUUUCGCAUCAAAGACCUUGGGAAGCUAAGAUUUUUUCUUGGCUUGGAAAUAGCAGGAUCAAACAAAGGAAUUUCGGUGAAUCAACGCAAAUAUACUCUUGAGCUUCUUGAAGAUAGUGGUCACAUGGCUGUUAAGCCUAGUUCCACUCCCUAUGAUACCUCCUUAAAGUUGCAUAAUUCUGAUUCCCCUCCAUAUCAUGAUGAAUUCUCCUUCAGAAGUUUGAUUGGUAGACUUCUCUAUUUGACACUCACGCGGCCUGACAUUGCUUUUGCUGUUCAACAACUUAGUCAAUUUGUUUCCAAGCCCCGUGAAGUCCACUUUCAAGCUGCUACAAAGAUUCUGAAGUAUCUCAAGAACUCUCCAGCCAAAGGGUUAUUCUAUUCAUCUUCAUCUCCCGUCAAACUUGCAGGUUUUGCUGAUUCAGAUUGGGCUAGCUGUCCCUCUACUAGACGAUCUGUCUCCGGUUUUUGUGUGUUUCUUGGCUCUUCCCUCAUCUCAUGGAAGUCUAAGAAGCAAACAACUGUUUCUAGAUCCAGCUCUGAAUCUAAGUAUAGAGCCUUGGCCAGCCUUACUUGUGAAUUACAAUGGCUCUCCUAUUUGUUCAAGGAUCUUCAUAUCAACUUUCAACAACCAGCUUCAGUAUAUUGUGACAAUAAAUCAGCCAUAUAUCUUGCUCAUAAUCCAACAUUUCAUGAGAGAACAAAACACAUUGAGAUUGAUUGUCAUGUUGUGCGCGAAAGAAUUCAAAGUGGUCUCAUUCAUCUCUUUCCCGUGCCAUCUUCUUCUCAAAUAGCAGAUUUGUUGACAAAACCACUUCUGUCUCCAGCUUUCAAUUCCUUGGUUUCCAAGCUUAGCCUAUGUGAUCUUCAUAGUCCAGCUUGUGGGGGGAUGUUACAUGUUAAUAUUUAAUUUAAUUAUCAUUAACUAUAACCUAUUAGUUAGCCUGCUUAUUAGUAUUCUAUUCAAUUGUAUUUAUACAUGUUGAUUAGUCUUCUCUUUAUUUUAGUGUAUAAAUAAACCUGUCAUGUACUUUUACACAUAGAUCAAUGAGAAUUAUAUAUCACUUGUCUUUCUAUUUUCUACUGUGUUCUAAAUAUUAACAUUAGAGGAUUUCACAUAACCUUUGUCAACACCGAAUACAAUCACAAACGCUUGCUCAAAUCAAGAGGUCCAAAUGCCUUUGAUGGUUUCAAUGAUUUUACCUUUGAGACCAUACCAGAUGGUUUAACUCCGGUGGAAGGUGAUGGUGAUGUUAGUCAAGACUUACGCG
rnacentral:lncRNA from 1 species